CUUAAGAUGGGGCCGGUUCCGGGUUCUUCUCCCCUCCUUGACCGGGCACUGUCUGAACCCGCCAAAGGAGGGCCAAUCAGAAAGAAGCAUCUCCUGCCUUCCCUUGGGCCCGCCCCUAGCCCAAUCCACGUAGGCCCAAGGGAUAUAAAACCCAGCACACCAGCAGCCCUCUCUCUCUUCUCUUCCUUCUCCUUGCAUGGUGCCGCUCGAUACCUCCAAUAAAGAUCUCUUGACCGCGACCGGCGUAGUUUGGUCUCCGCCCGGCCCCUUUCAAGCAGGGCAUGAGAAAAUGGGAAGAGAGAAUGGGCAAGGGGUCAUCGAUGGACCAGAGAUGGGAUGGUAAGGACAGAAACUGCAGAAGGAACUGCUCACCGGAAGCCAACAAGCUUGCCCUGUGGAAUCCCAGAAAGGCCCAGGAACUUCGGGACAUCAGUGAAGGCAGAGUGAGGAGAGAUGUAAUUCAAGUCCCUUGCCUGAGAUUGGAGACGAUGCUGCGGGUCUUGAAGAAACACGCUGCCAUGAGUCUACAGCUACAAAAAGAUGAAUUCUGCCAACAACUGCCUGAGACCACAGCCCUAGCCAGUAUCUGCAUUGCAGGUUUGUGAAACUCACUGAGGACCCACCUAAGUCAUGCCCAGACGUCUGCCCCAA